UAUUUUGCUGGACUUCUUGGCUGCACCAGAAAUUCCCUUGGUCAUUCUUGCUUUACUUCUUUGUUUUCUUCCUUCUUUGUUCUUAUUGGUUGCACCUUUAUCUCUUCUUUGACUUUCUCAAAGAAAGAAGACUCAAGAAGCUCCCCCUUUCUUUUCCCACGGGUCCAAUUAAAUCAGAAAAUUCUCACUUCACUUUUCUCUCUUUUGUUCUUAAGGAAAGUGCUUGGAAGCUCUCUUGAGUCUUCCCUCAAGUCCACGGGUUGACACACCAAAAGAAAACUCAAUUCUUCUUCAUAUUCUCUCUAAGGAACCAGAAAACUCUCUCAAGCUCUACCAUUCUUUCAUGAGUGGUUCUAUGUCUAUUUUUCCCCUCAAGAAACAUAAACUUGAUAUUACCAGUACCCAGGUCUAAGCUCCUUCGACUGUAGGCUCUCGGUUCCUCUGCUUUCAGUUAGCAGGUUUUAUUUUGAAGUAAAGGAAGCCUUAGUCAAGUUUUGAAAGGAGCUGGUUUUAGUUUUAUAUGUAUGGAUCCUAAAUUAGAAACUUGAUGUUUAGAUUUGUGGUAUGGUUAAUUUUAGGAUCUAAUUAAAGUUGUGUACCUUAAAGUAUUAAGAGAUGUAUUAUGUAAAAUUCAGAAUUUGAGUAACUGGUGAAUUAUGUUAUUCUUUGGAGUAUAAUGUAGAUGCUGUAAAUGUCAAG